rnacentral:rRNA from 1 species
UGGGGAACAUUGCACAAUGGGCGCAAGCCUGAUGCAGCCAUGCCGCGUGUAUGAAGAAGGCUUUCGGGUUGUAAAGUACUUUCAGUCGGGAGGAAGGUGUCAAGGUUAAUAACCUUGGCAAUUGACGUUACCGACAGAAGAAGCACCGGCUAACUCCGUGCCAGCAGCCGCGGUAAUACGGAGGGUGCAAGCGUUAAUCGGAAUUACUGGGCGUAAAGCGCACGCAGGCGGUUUGUUAAGUCAGAUGUGAAAUCCCCGGGCUCAACCUGGGAACUGCAUCUGAUACUGGCAAGCUUGAGUCUCGUAGAGAGGGGUAGAAUUCCAGGUGUAGCGGUGAAAUGCGUAGAGAUCUGGAAGAAUACCGGUGGCGAAGGCAGCCCCCUGAACGAAGACUGACGCUCAGGUGCGAAAGCGUGGGGAGCAAACAGG